rnacentral:lncRNA from 1 species
CUGAAGACGUGGGUCGUAGUGGGCGUUGAGAAAAUUAGCGGUUUUUUCGAAACUGACAACAAUAAAAAUGGCGACCGUGAAACUGACAUUAUAUAAUGCGGAAAGAGAUAUUUUAGUAGAUGUAAAUGUUUCUGCAGCGGAUGCUCAACGUGCCUCCACAGAUACAGUAUUUGCGACGCAACUUUUGAACAAAUGUUUAAAUGAAUAACUGCAAACAUCAACGUCCGCUGAUCUUGCUGAUAACAACGUUCAAUUAACUGAUGAAAGCACUGAUACUUUUAUUGAUGAAGAAUUCCUCAGUACAGGGGAUACUGCUUAUUCCAAAUUAUCAAUUUUUUCAAUACGGAUCAAUGUAAUCAGUAAUUAUUUAAGUUUAUUUUGAAGGAUUACAGAUUAAAUCUUAACCUCUUUAA